rnacentral:lncRNA from 1 species
CUGGGUUUAGACCGUCGUGAGACAGGUUAGUUUUACCCUACUUAUCUCUGGAUAAGAGCGUCUGCUAAAUUACUAAAAUGUAAAUGUAAGUAGUUUUUUUGGGUAUCUGUACUUUACUUGACUAUUUAUAUUUUUAGCAACUUUUACUUUUACUUCACUACAUUCCUAAAGAAAAUGAUGUACUUUUUACUUCAUACAUUUUCCCUGACAUCCAAAAGUACUUGUUACAUUUUGAAUGCUUAUCAGGACAGGAAAAUUGUCUAAUUCACACACUUAUCAAAAGAACAACCCUGGUCGUCCCUACAGCCUCUGAUCUGGUGGACUCAAUAAGCACAUGCUUCGUUUGUAAAUUAUGUUUGAGUGUUGGGGCAUGCCCCUGGCUAUCGUUAAAUAAAAUGAUUUGCUGUCUGGUUUGCUUUAUAUAAGGAAUAAAACUUGUAUAGUUUUCCUUUUGAUACUUAAGUAUAUUUUAGCAAUUACAUGUGCUUUUCACACUUAAGUAUAUUUAAAACCAAAUACUUUUAGGCUUUUACUCAAGUAGUAUUUUACUGGGCGACUUUCACUUUUACUUGAGUCAUUUUGGUGUAUUUACCUUUAAGUAUGAAAAUUGGUUACUUUUUCCACCACUGCCUAUACUCACUUGGUUACGGGUGAGUACCCUUUAUUUUCUUAUUCUCGUGUUUAAAUUAUUUUCCCUCAAUUUAACCUUUGUUUUAUUGUGCCAAUAAAAAUAAAGACAUUUCAUUCCAUAGCUUAAUCCAAACAUUUAUGCAGACCAAUUACUAGUUCAUAAACUAACUCAGGUUUAGCUCUAUGAAGAGUCAAUCAUUUGUAUUGGGCGACACCUUGUGGAUUUAUCUCACAAGUGCUCCUCCUAAUACAGUAAUCCAAUGACAUGUCAAAUACUAUGCCAGCUCAAUCACAUAAUCAAACUAACACUUCAAAUAAUAACAGUCCAUUCUCAUUUUCAUUCAUCCAAAUAGAAGUUCAAUGGUCUGAGAGAAUCAAACUACAUUUUAAAUAUUUCUUCUUUCCAAAGCAUAUAAAUAAUACACAAAUGUUUAAGCAUAUAGAAACAAUAACUCAUCGCACAUGCAUGUUUGUAGCCUCUUAUCAUCUUCUUGUCAUGAUAUGGUUGGUAUACUUCCCACGCUACUCCAUGCAUUUGAUGUUGCUUUAUCAUUCCCAAGUAUCUCCCACUGGCUCUGGGCUUCUGCAUCUAUCCCAUCACUCAAAUUUACAGGUAACUGUCAAAAUACAGGAAACACAGAGUAAAUGAGGGAUACAAGGUAUAUUGAAAGCAGGUGCUUCCACACAGAUGUGGUUCCUGAGAUAAUUAAGCAAUUAAUAUCCCAUCAUGCUUAGGGUCAUGUUUAAAAAUGCCCAGUUGCCCAUUAUUUUGGCUGCUAUGGUUAAAAGAAGAGAUUUCGGUGACUUUGAAAGAGGGGUCUGAAAGGAGCAUAGGGGCUUUAAAGGGUGUGUGUCUCAGUCACCAGAUCUCAACCCAAUAGAACGGCGCCUGAGACAGCGUUUUGCUAGCCUCAUACGAGCCAUACUGAUCUCGGCAGGUUUACUAUCUGUUUCGCUACAUGGAUAUAAUCUGGCCACGACCAGACUCAAACCGUUUGAGACCCUCCCUUCCGUCCACCGUAUGGCCAGACCAAUCAGCAUCCUCUGAUAAUCUGUAGGGGUGGUUAAAUUGUUGAUGACAACGAAAAUCAAAAAUCAUAACAACGACUGGAGGUUGCUGUUAACCGCUGCUGUAGCAGUAUCAUGUCAGAACUGAAGGGCAUAACUUAAUUGAAAGAACAGCAGAUAACUGCAUUGAAGGCUUUUCUCGGGGGAGAAGAUGUUUUUCGUUCUUCUCCCGAAUGGGUUUGCCAAGCACUUGAUUUACCAGCUAGUUCCACUAGUAGUCAAGAAAAUGGGACGGACCAAGAACCCAAUUCUCAUUGUUGUGUUAACGUGGGUCGCUUUAAUGGAGGUUCACAUCACAUUCAAAUGGGGAGAGGUCGCAAAAGGGGAGCGAGCCAUCAGAGAGCUUUGCAGAGUUGGGAAAACUCUGAUCCAUAGCCAAAGAGAGUACACCUGUGUUGGCACUGACAACAUCCGUGCCUACGUUGUCAACAACAUCCAGUAUUCCGAUUGCAACAUACAAUUUACCUGAAGACUUUCUUGGUCUAUAGUAAUUAGUUAGUUAAAUGACAGCUGAGAAAUAAGACUGUUAUUGUUUGUGUUGUUACUUGUCCAAACGUACCAGAUUAAAACUCAUAAUUUUUGCUCAAUACGGUUGGUGGUGUUUCAACUGUUAUCAUUAUGGAUUUUUUCAAAUUAUGAAUUAAUCAAGAGGUAUAAAUUAAAGUUUGCUUUUAACUUUGUUACAGUAGACAACAGAACAAUGAUGCAUGGAAAGUUAUACAGAUAAAGGCAGAUAAAGUUGUACUGAUAAAUACAAAACUUAAAUACAAAUACAGAUCAAUAAGUUCCAUUUACAGUGACAACAGUUGAUUUGGCCUACCUCUGCUCCUUAACUCCCAAUCACUGUCUACCUCAGGGGUUGGCAACCGUUUUUGUGUGGAGUGCCAAUUUACCCUAACAUUUCUAACGAUCUGCCAGUUAUGAUUUUCAUAUGUGCCACUUGUGUCUAUUGAAUAUCUAAUUGCCCACAAACGGAAUAAUUCCAUAUCUUGCUAAACAGCACCAAGGGCUUGAUCUUGGAACACAGAUUCUCUUGGUGAAUGAUGCAAUUAAGUGAUAAUGCUCGAUAAGCCGGUGUUUGGAGGAUAUAUUGGUAUGGAUUACCAACAUAUUCAAAUACUGAUUGACAUAUUUUAAUUAAAUGUUAACUUAUUCAUACUAUUUCAUCCUUUGACAAGAUACAGUCCUGACACAAAUCUAGGGUUGCUACCCAAGCUGGCUGGUCGUUCGUUCUAUCGGUUUGGUUGCUAGAGACGUGACCCAGUUGUUCAGUCUUUUUGUUCUGUAUCUAAGUUCGUUCUAAAUGUUCAAUUACCAUACUGGCUGGCAACGUUCUUAUCCCUUGCUUGCUAGCUAGACAACUACAACUAACUUAGUCACAUCCCCAAAAAGAAUAACAACAGUAGCUGCAUUUGCAUUUGUUUAAUCUGUUUUCUAGUAAAAUGUAUUUGGAUAUAUCCAUAACAGUGAGCUAAUGGCAUAGAAAAUGUGCUCUCUCACACUGUUGUUCAGAGGAGCUAGCCAACAACACUGUUAACACAAUCACUUCAAACACUGAAGAUGUAAAGACUGCAAACUAGCUGCACUUUGUUUCGUUUGACCUUUUUUCAAUUUGCAUUUCUUUGUAUAUAUCCAUUUAAAAUUAUGCCAGGUGAUUCAUGAUUUCGACUGGCUGAGGAACGCUGCCUGCCUGUCUGUCUGUCUUGUCCCAACUCCCAACCCCUAAAUGUUCAUUACUAUGUCAACUGCAUUUAUUUUCAGCAAACUUAACAUGUGUAAAUAUUUGUAUGAACAUAACAAGAUUCAACAACUGAGACAUAAACUGAACAAGUUCCACAGACAUGUGAGUAACAGAAAUGGAAGAAUGUGUCCAUGAACAAAG